GGGGCCACCUGUCAGCCCCUACCCCCGUCUCCUCCGCGCCUCCUCGCGCGCCCGUUGGCCCGCUGGGGCGGCGGCGCCAAGCCGGCGGCCGCUGGCUUGGCCAGCGUGGCCCCGGGCAGGCGAGCCGCAGCCGCCGCGCCGGCCGCUCGCCUCCUCCUCCCUUUAAAUGCCAACCCGGCCCCUUUGCCUCCAAACCCUAGCCGCCGCCACCACCAUUGCCGCCGCCACCUCCUUUCUUCCCCAACUCCGGCCACGAUUCGUCGUCUCCGCAGGCCUCUCCGCGAGCUUCUCCGCACACCCCCGCGUUCCUCCGCCAGGCUGCCCCAUCCACCGCCGUUCCCCGCCGUCCGAGCUGCCGUGGCGGAAACACCAGAGAGUGAGCGCGUUGAGGCCGAGCCUAGUGUUGAGUUUGUUGUCGAGACGAAAGAAAAAUCAAGGCAAGC